UAUUCCACUUCCCCGGGAAGAGAAAAUCUAUAUGUAAUGAAUAAAACGGUUACGAGAAAAGUGUUAAAUGAUAUCAUUUCAUAUAUAAGUUGUUGGAGGAGCUACAUCUUGAUGUAGAGACAUAUUCGGAAGCAAGAAAUGAAGCGUGAUUACUAGCAUAUGUCGAUUUGUCUAUUUAAAAAAAUAUAUUUUCAGAUAAGACAAAAUAUACCAUGUUGGACCGAAACAAUACGAAUAAUAUUACAAGUUGUCCGAUUUUCACAUGUAAGUCGUUGUGUGAGGUAUAUAAUGCAACGGUAACUCCUCUUGAAGAUUGAAAUGAUGGAAAGGUGUGUUGAAUAUGUGGAGAUGCUAUACAAAUAUGUUUUCAUUUUCACAUGAAGUGAAAAUCUAGAGUGAUGAAUAAAGAGGGUACGAAAAUGGUGCUAAAGAUGUAUGAUUCCUAUAUAAAAGGAGCCACAUACUGCUGCAAAGACUAAUAUCGAAGUAUGAAAUGAAGGAAAGGUUGUUGUAAUAUGACUUCUAUCCUGUUUGAAAAAUGUUUCAGUUUACACGGUAGGGAAAUAUACAGUAAUGAAUGAAAAGAUUAUGAAAAUGUGCUAAAAUUAUAUCAUUUGUACAAAUAAGUUUUUGGAGGAGCUACAUACUGCUCCAGAGACAACUUUGACAGCAACAAAUGAAACAGGACUGAUAGCAUAUGUCGAUUUCACUAUUUAAACAACUUUUCAGUUUCACAUAAGAGAAAAAUAUACCAUGAUGGUACGAAAU
rnacentral:lncRNA from 1 species